UACAUAUGAUGCUUUACAAAUCGAUUAGUCUUGAAGACACAACUAUGUGGUUAAAUUUUUAUACUUGUAUACUGA
rnacentral:snoRNA from 1 species